rnacentral:rRNA from 1 species
GACGAACGCUGGCGGCGUGCUUAACACAUGCAAGUCGAACGGUAAGGCCCUUCGGGGUACACGAGUGGCGAACGGGUGAGUAACACGUGGGUGAUCUGCCCUGCACUUCGGGAUAAGCCUGGGAAACUGGGUCUAAUACCGGAUAGGACCCUGGGAUGCAUGUCCUGGGGUGGAAAGCUUUUGCGGUGUGGGAUGGGCCCGCGGCCUAUCAGCUUGUUGGUGGGGUGAUGGCCUACCAAGGCGACGACGGGUAGCCGGCCUGGGAGGGUGACCGGACACCAUGGGACUUAGAUACGGCCCAGACUCCUACGGGAGGCAGCAGUGGGGAAUAUUGCACAAUGGGCGCGAGCCUGAUGCAGCGAGGCCGCGUGAGGGAUGACGGCCUUCGGGUUGUAAACCUCUUUCAGCACCGACGAAGCGCAAGUGACGGUAGGUGCAGAAGAAGGACCGGCCAACUACGUGCCAGCCGCCGCCGUAA